UGGAUUUUAUCCUCAGCACCACAUAAAAAUAAGUAAAUAAAAUAAAGACAUUGUGUCCAUCUACAACUAAAAAAAACAUCAAAAAGAUAACAAAGACAAACUGAAAAAUUUUCUGCAUCAAAUGACAUUAUCAAAAAAAUCAAUAGGCAGAUUGAGACUGUUGGUCCCUGGAUCUAUUCUACUAUUCCCUGACAUCCAAUCCUUGGCUGGAGAGAACCACAAGGCAACAAUGAUGUCUGCUCUUCAGCGAAGAGAAGUCAUGUGACAUCAAAGACGCUGGUCAAUGUCUUCAAAGAUGUAUAAAAUGGUGUGUAAGCACCUGAAAAAUUCUCUUCAAGAACUUGUAGAUGAAGAAUUGAAGUUUAAGAGUAAACUUAAUUAAGUCAAGCAAAAAAAAAAUUAGGCAUCUUCCUAGUGGAGAUAUUAAAAAAACCUCCAUUAGUGAACAUAUUGCUGAAAUCCUGGUCAACCAUUACGGGUCAAAUUAUGCAGUGGAGGUUGCCAUGAAAGUCCUGAAAAAAUUCACCAGAGACACAUGGCUGAGAUGCUCCUUCACGAAAUCAAAGAAAAUAAAUAUAAAAAUAUUAAGAAAGAAGAGGAUGAUGAUGAGGAAACCCAUGAAGAAUAGUCAAGUGAUGAUGACGUUGAUGACAUGGAUGAUGAUGAUAAUUAAAAAGAAAACAACCUUUCCAACAAAAAUAAAUACUGAAAAUAUUUGCCCUUAAUACUCUUUUAUGGAAUGUGGAGACUAAUAUGAAAUUUAUGUUUUUGAUCCUGAUCUUUAUUUUCUAUUCUUAUUUCUCUAAUAAAACAUUUCUGAGCUAAUUAUGUUUUGUUAGAGUAAAACUUAUAGAAAGAUCAAUAGAGGAAAGGAAGCAGGGUAUGGACAGAUGGAAGGAGAAGAGGAGGUAGUGGGGUCUGAAUUAGAACAAAAUCUAUUCCAUUCUUGCACGGUUAUGUCAAAAUGAACUCUAAUGAGGAGCAUCUCAGCC
rnacentral:lncRNA from 1 species